GCAGUGUACAGCAUGUGUGAUGAUUGACAGCUAUACAGAAAAAUUGAAUUUUGAGUUUCUGAAGAAAACUCCAUCGGAUGACUUUAAAUUAGAUUACAUGGGGCCUUACAAGCUAUUUUGAAGUCUCAGUACACUGCCAGCACUGUGUUCCCAAUUAGACGAUGAAUGCAAUGCUUCAUCUUUUCUGCAAG